rnacentral:lncRNA from 1 species
GCGUGUUCCGGCACCUCGGCGCGGGUAAGUUCUAGCAGAAGACAGGUUGCCUCACUGAAGAAAGACAUCACCCAAAGCCAGUAACAUUAAAACAUCUGGAAACCAAUGGAAAAUUACAAGAAAUGCCAAAACCACAUGGACCACGUGACCAAAAACUAAGAGAAAAAAAAGUGACAUGAGAAACCAAGCCACAGACAAUUCACAUAUUGGAGUUCACUGGCAAGAACUCUAAGAUAACUAUGACUAAUGUGUUUGAGACAAUUAUGGAUAAGAUAAUAGGCAAAGACUUUGAUCAGAAAAGUAAUCUAUAAAAAUCAAAUGGAUAUUCUAGAACUGAAUACAGUGUCUGGAGUUGAGAACACAGUAGGUGGAUGUAAUAGUGGAUUUGUGUAACAAAAGACAAGAUUAGUGAACUACAAGACAGGUCAGUAGAAAAAAAUACAUACUGAAGCAUGUAUUGGAGGCAUGUAAACACAAUGAAAAGCCUUUAGAAAGAUAAUUGGAGUCUUGGAAUAGAAUGGGGCCAAAGUAACAUUUGACCAAGCUCAGAAAACUAAAGCAGGACAAAGAAAAAUAGAAUCACACUUAGGCACAUCAAAGUAAACCAACUAAAAAGUAAAGACAGAAAACAUCUUAAAGACAGCCAUCUCCCACAGAAACAAUGGAAACCAAAAAGACUAGAAUAAUACUUUUAAAGUGCUUACAGAAAGUAGCUGCUGAUCUAGAAAUUCAUACCCUGCAAAAAAUAUCCUUCAAAAAUGAAGGUGAAAUGGGGCUGGGUGCAGUGGCUCACGCCUGUAAUCCCAGCACCAUGCCCGGCUAAUUCUUUUGAUUUUUAGUAGAAAUGAGGUCUCACUGUGUUGCCCAGGUUGGUCUUGAAUUCCUGAGCAAAAAAGAUUCUCCUGCCUCAGCGUCCCAAAUUGCUGAGAUGACAGCUGUGAGCCACUGUGCCCAUUUUGUUUUUGGUUUGUUUGUUUUUUAAUUUGGCUCUUUUAGUUGAUUUUCAUGGGAGCAUUGAUCUAGAGCAAGUUAGUACAUCAGUAGUUUCCAACCUCGAGAUGAUUGUGUCCCCUCCCCAGGGGACCUUUGGCAAUAUCUGGAGACAUUUUUGACUGUCAUAGAUUGGGGUCAGUGAGGAUACUACUGGCAUCUAGUGAGUCAAGACUAGGGAUGCUGGUUAACAUCUGUAACAGGAUAGCCCUCUGUAACAAAGAAUUAUCUUUCCCCAAAUGUCAUUAGUAUCAAGAUUGAGACAUCCUGCAUUAUAAAGUUUUGAUUUUAGUAUUUUUUUAAAAAGCUCUCUGAUUUCAGAUAUUUUUCUGAUUUUACAUUUAAAAGACCUUAAAUGGCACACAAACGGUAUAAAUUCAAGUUGAUGAACAUUGAGUUCAAUGUGAGUUAACUGAAGAGAAUAGCCAUUGGAUUCUUAUGUCACCCCUAUUUAUCUCUCUAGAGAUAUAUGGAGGAUAACUUGGUGGACAAAAUACAGUUAGAAGCUGAGAAUAUUGGUCUCAAUUUCAGCUGAGAAUUUGAGAUGAAACAUGUAUGCUUGGAAGUCAUUUAUACACAGCUGUUAGUUGAAGCUAUUGUAAUGUAUAAGUCUUCUCAUUUGUAAAGCACAAGAGAGCAGGGCCAAGGACAGAACUCUUAAGGGCAGGGGAAGGAGGGAAGACCAUUGGUGUUUAAGGACUCCAUUCCUCCAUAUGAUCAACUCAAUAGAUGCAAAAAAUAAAUUGACAAAAUGUAACACAAUAAUCAAACAUCCAUACAUGAUAGAAACUUCCAGCAAACUAGAACUAGAAACGAACGUUCACAUCCUAAUAAAGUGCAUCUGUGAAAACUUACAGCAAGCAUCAUACUUAAAGUGAAAGACUGAAAUGCUUUCUCUCUAAGAUCAGAAACAAGGUGAGGGUGUAUGCUCUUACCACUUCUAGCCAGUGUAAUAAGGCUAAAUAAAUAAAUGAGUAAUAUCCAGAUUAGAAAGGAAGAGAUGUCUUAAUUUGCAGAUGACACAAUUAUCUAUGUAGAAAAUCCUAAUUAAUCUACCAAAAAGCUACCAGUACCAAUACAUGUUUCUCAAGGUGGCAGAAUAUAAGAUCAAUUUGCCAAAAUCAGUUGUAUUUUUAUAUAGAAGCAGUGAGCAAUCAGAAAUUGCAAUUUAAAAAUAAUGUAAAAAAUAAUAAAUAUUUAAGGAUAACCUGCCAAAAGACAUGUGAGACCUGUUCGCUGAAAACUAGUAAACACUGCUGGGAUAAAUAAAAUCUAAAUAAAUAGACAUAUUGUAUUUAUAUAUUAGAAGAUUCAACAUUGUUAAGAUAUAAUUUAUUCUCAAAUUCAACUAUAUAUAUUCAAUACGAUUUCAAUAGAAAUCCUAGCAGGCUUUUAAAAGAAAUUACCAAAUUUAUAUGAAAAUGUAAAGAACCUAGAAUAGCCAAAACAAUACUGAAAAAAGAGCUAAAUGGAGGAUUUACACUAUCUGAUUUCAAGAUCUAUUAAAAAGCUACAGUAAUCACAGUAUAAAGAAAGGUAAACAGAGACAAAUGGAACAAAAUUUGUCCAGAAAUAGACCUACAGAAUUGAUUUUCAACAAAGGUGCCAGGGCAAUUCAAUGGGAAAAUGAUAAUAUUAACAAUAAAUGGUGAUGGAGCAAAUGGAUAUCCAUAUAAACAAAUAGUGAAAACAAAGAACAAUAACAAAAAACAAAUGAACUUCAAUCCUUAUUUCACACCAGCAUUCAAAAAGUACUUCAAGAUAAAUCAUAGUCCUAAAUAUAAGAGGUAACGUAUAAAACUUCUUGAAGAAAACGUAGGAGAAAAUCUCAGUGACCUUGGCUUGGCACGUGUUUCUUAAACUGGACACAAAAAGCAAGAAUUAUUAAAGAAAAAUAAAAUGGAUAUCAUCAAAAUAAAAAAUGUUUGCCUUUCCA